rnacentral:rRNA from 1 species
AUGAAGCCCUUAGGCACAUCGCCCUCUUCUGGCCUGCACCUAGCUCCAUUGCUAAUUGUCCUAUUCAUGCACGGGCCUCAUCUGCUUGUAGUUGUAGCAGACAACCUCACGGCCGGAUCGUCUCUCAGGCCCCCUCAGUACAUCACCUGCCCCUCCGGUGACUUCGCCUUUGGCUUCCGUGCCCUCGACUAUGACCCCAGUCAGUUCCUCCUCGCCGUCUGGUUCAACCUCAACCUUGACCCGGCAGCCGACCCCGGGCAGAAGAAGGUGGUGUGGUACGCGAAAGACCCGGUCUCAGACUCGGCAAUCAUGGCCACGGGGCAGGCCGUAUUCAGUAUCACCCCCCAUGGUGAGCUCUUGCUCACAGACUCCACCACCGGCGGCAACAUCUGGACGAACCCGAGCCCUGGCCAGUCAGGGAACGUCCUCACGCUACAGGACUCGGGCAACCUCCAGUUCAUCGCCAUCGGGGGGAGCACCGUCGUCUGGGAGACCUUUCGGCACCCGACCGACACGCUCCUCCCGGGGCAGACAAUGGUCUCUGGAGCAAGUCUUCAGUCUAAGCAAUCAGACACAGACUUCUCUGCUGGCCGCUUCAGCUUGUAUGUGCAGGCUGACGGCAAUAUAGUCUUGUACCUCAUGAACCUCGCCGGUGACAUGGACUCAUACAAUUCAUACUGGCGCACCGGCACCGGCCAGCCCGGGCAAACCCAGGACGGCAACACCACCCUUUUCUUCGAUUCGCCGGGCCACCUCCACUACCAGAUCAAGGAUGGCACGAUGCGCGAUCUGACACCUCCCAUGCCGAACUCCACCGUUAGUUACUACAAGCAUGCAACGCUUGAUCCAGAUGGCAUUGUUCGUGUCUACACCCUGCAGAAGAAUGCCACCGGAAGGCGCAAUGUGCCAUGGACGAUCUUUGGGCUGUUCCCAAGCAAUGGUUGCAGCAGCAGCACUACAGGCUGGGAAGGAAUGUGCGGCCCCAACUCGUACUGUGUUUAUGGUCCUAACAACAAGCUCGAUUGUGAGUGCCCAAGUGGUUACUCCUUCAUCGAUCCUAGGCUCAAGUACAGAGGCUGCACACCAGUGUUCGUGCCACAGAGCUGUGAUGGGAAGAACCGGCCCUCCGAGUUCAGUCUUGUUAAGUUGCCAAACACCACUUGGUUGCUGUCAUCAUACAGAGGGUAUUCGUACACCACAGAGGAGAAGUGCGACAACUCAUGCUUGCGAGACUGCUUCUGCACUGCCACUCUGUUCGAUGGAAAAGUUUGUUACAAAAUGGCAUUAUUGGCGGGCGCAGGAUGGCAGGAAGGAAGCCUCAACAUGAAGGCAUCGAUCAAGGUGCGGACAAGCAGCCUCCCGAUGCCGACAUCACCGAGAAGACCAUUGCCUUAUUUACUGCUGAUUUGCUCGGUGCUAUUGAUGCUGGCUGCAGCAAGUAGUCUCAUGCUACAUUUUUGCCUUCGGAAGAAGAACACUAACCAUGAUUUCCUGAGGGUUUUCACCCGAAAGGAGCUUUACAAAGCCACCAAUGGCUUUCACAAGUUGUUGGGCAAAGGAGGCUUUGGAGAGGUCUACCAUGGGGUGAUAAUGUCGUUACACGCCUCUGAUGUAGCAGUGAAGAAGCUCAUCAACUCCAACGAGUACAGCGAGCGGGAGUUCGCGAAUGAGGUGCAGUCCAUCGGCAGGAUUCAUCAUAGGAAUCUAGUGCGCAUGGUCGGUUACUGCAAGGAGCAGGAGCAAAGGAUGCUUGUGUUUGAGUUCAUGCCAGGCGGCUCCCUUCGAAGCUUCGUCUUCCAACCUCAACGGCCGUUGUGGACGUGGCGUGUAGAGGCAGCAAUUGGGAUUGCCAAAGGGCUAGAGUAUUUACAUGAAGGCUGCGAUUCUCCGAUCAUUCAUUGUGACAUCAAGCCCGACAAUAUACUUCUAGAUGGCAAGAACAAUCCAAAGAUAACUGACUUUGGGAUCGCCAAGCUUCUCAACAACCAGCAGAUGCACACGACAGUGACCAAUAUCAGAGGCACAAGGGGAUAUAUUGCCCCUGAGUGGUUCCAAAGCGACAGGCGCAUCGACACCAAGGUUGAUGUUUACAGCUUUGGCGUUGUGUUACUAGAGAUGAUAUGCUGCCUGAAGUGCCAGGAGCCGGUGACAGGGCAGGAUGGUGAAGAUUCAGUCACAUUGUUCUGGUGGGCCGGUCAAUUGGUUCAUCAUGGCAGGACUGAAAUUCUGCUGCAUGAUGACGAUGAUGCCAUGGAGGACUUGGUCAGGGUGAAGAGGUUCUCACGUGUCGCAUUCUGGUGCAUCGAGCAGAAUCCUUUGUUGCGACCAACAAUGCACCAAGUUGUGCAGAUGUUGGAGGGUGUUGUUGAGGUUGGCAUUCUACCUGAUCCUCCAAACUCCACAGACCAUCCUUGA